rnacentral:rRNA from 1 species
GACGAACGCUGGCGGCGUGCUUAACACAUGCAAGUCGAACGGAAAGGCCCCUUUGGGGGUACUCGAGUGGCGAACGGGUGAGUAACACGUGAGUAACCUGCCCUUGACUUCGGGAUAACUUCAGGAAACUGGGGCUAAUACCGGAUAGGAAUCCUUGCUGCAUGGUGGGGGUUGGAAAGCUUCGGCGGUUUUGGAUGGACUCGCGGCUUAUCAGCUUGUUGGUGGGGUAGUGGCUUACCAAGGCUUUGACGGGUAGCCGGCCUGAGAGGGCGACCGGCCACAUUGGGACUGAGAUACGGCCCAGACUCCGACGGGAGGCAGCAGGGGGGAAUAUUGCACAAUGGGCGGAAGCCUGAUGCAGCAACGCCGCGGGCGGGAGGACGGCCUUCGGGUUGUAAACCGAUUUCAGCAGGGGCGAAGCUUGUGGUGACGGUACCUGCAGAAGAAGCACCGGCUAACUACGUG